rnacentral:misc_RNA from 1 species
GCCCCGUAGGUGAACCUGCGGAGGGAUCAUUACAGAGUUCAUGCCCUACCGGGUAGAUCUCCCACCCUAUGUUAUUAUUACUUUGUUGCUUUGGCGGGCCGUUAGGCUCCGGCCCGACUACCGGCCCCGGCUGGUAAGCGCCCGCCAGAGGACCCAAAACCCUGAAUAUUAGUGUCGUCUGAGUACUAUAUAAUAGUUAAAACUUUCAACAACGGAUCUCUUGGUUCUG